GAUGAACGCUGGCGGCGUGCCUAAUACAUGCAAGUCGAGCGAACGGACGAGAAGCUUGCUUCUCUGAUGUUAGCGGCGGACGGGUGAGUAACACGUGGAUAACCUACCUAUAGGACUGGGAUAACUUCGGGAAACCGGAGCUAAUACCGGAUAAUAUUUUGAACCGCAUGGUUCAAAAGUGAAAGACGGUCUUGCUGUCACUUAUAGAUGGAUCCGCGCUGCAUUAGCUAGUUGGUAAGGUAACGGCUUACCAAGGCAACGAUGCAUAGCCGACCUGAGAGGGUGAUCGGCCACACUGGAACUGAGACACGGUCCAGACUCCUACGGGAGGCAGCAGUAGGGAAUCUUCCGCAAUGGGCGAAAGCCUGACGGAGCAACGCCGCGUGAGUGAUGAAGGUCUUCGGAUCGUAAAACUCUGUUAUUAGGGAAGAACAUAUGUGUAAGUAACUGUGCACAUCUUGACGGUACCUAAUCAGAAAGCCACGGCUAACUACGUGCCAGCAGCCGCGGUAAUACGUAGGUGGCAAGCGUUAUCCGGAAUUAUUGGGCGUAAAGCGCGCGUAGACGGUUUUUUAAGUCUGAUGUGAAAGCCCACGGCUCAACCGUGGAGGGUCAUUGGAAACUGGAAAACUUGAGUGCAGAAGAGGAAAGUGGAAUUCCAUGUGUAGCGGUGAAAUGCGCAGAGAUAUGGAGGAACACCAGUGGCGAAGGCGACUUUCUGGUCUGUAACUGACGCUGAUGUGCGAAAGCGUGGGGAUCAAACAGGAUUAGAUACCCUGGUAGUCCACGCCGUAAACGAUGAGUGCUAAGUGUUAGGGGGUUUCCGCCCCUUAGUGCUGCAGCUAACGCAUUAAGCACUCCGCCUGGGGAGUACGACCGCAAGGUUGAAACUCAAAGGAAUUGACGGGGACCCGCACAAGCGGUGGAGCAUGUGGUUUAAUUCGAAGCAACGCGAAGAACCUUACCAAAUCUUGACAUCCUUUGACAACUCUAGAGAUAGAGCUUUCCCCUUCGGGGGACAAAGUGACAGGUGGUGCAUGGUUGUCGUCAGCUCGUGUCGUGAGAUGUUGGGUUAAGUCCCGCAACGAGCGCAACCCUUAAGCUUAGUUGCCAUCAUUAAGUUGGGCACUCUAAGUUGACUGCCGGUGACAAACCGGAGGAAGGUGGGGAUGACGUCAAAUCAUCAUGCCCCUUAUGAUUUGGGCUACACACGUGCUACAAUGGACAAUACAAAGGGCAGCGAAACCGCGAGGUCAAGCAAAUCCCAUAAAGUUGUUCUCAGUUCGGAUUGUAGUCUGCAACUCGACUACAUGAAGCUGGAAUCGCUAGUAAUCGUAGAUCAGCAUGCUACGGUGAAUACGUUCCCGGGUCU
rnacentral:rRNA from 1 species